rnacentral:ncRNA from 2 species
UACGGGGGGAGCAAGCGUUGUUCGGAUUUACUGGGCGUAAAGGGCGCGUAGGCGGCCAGCGCAAGUCAGUUGUGAAAUCUCCGAGCUUAACUCGGAAAGGUCAACUGAUACUGCGCGGCUAGAGUGCGGAAGGGGCAACUGGAAUUCUUGGUGUAGCGGUGAAAUGCGUAGAUAUCAAGAGGAACACCUGCGGCGAAGGCGGGUUGCUGGGCCGACACUGACGCUGAGGCGCGAAAGCCAGGGGAGCGAACGGG